rnacentral:lncRNA from 1 species
UGGUGGAUAAGAAUCAUCAAAUGGGAUGAUUGAGGAUCCCAUCAAGAGUAGCAAAUAUUGAUCUACAUCAACGGCCCAAAACUAUUCAAUCUCCAAGAUUUAGUCUUGAAGAUAUUCGGAACAAGUAACAAUAAUGACAUGUUCUUAAAAGUUAAAACAAGAAAAUUUUGGAGGACGCGAGAGGGAGGGAAGGAUGUAGUCAGAAGUAGCUGGUUUAAUAUCAUACAAUAAUGUUAUCAUUGGGAAUCCGUCCGAUUUUUUUCAUCACCCAACAUCACACCUCCCUCGCUGCACCCAGAAAAUAAAUCUAAAUUUGAAGAAAAACAUAAAAAUAAAUGUAUCAACCUUGUCACCGAUAAUAUCCUAUAUGGAAGAAAGGAAAAUCGGAGCUAAAGGUUGAAUACAUACAUAUAAAUAUAUGAUAAAAUACGAAUGUAGGGUAUUCACUAUAGCCUAAGGAUAGAUUCCUUGAUCCACAAAGAUCAAACAAUUGCAAUUUUAGGCCUCAGAUCCAUACAUAGAUGAUAGAUAGACAGAAUCACUAGGGUUUGGGGAAGAAGAAGACUACCACCGAAACAACAAGAGCAUGAUGAGGUUUGGUGAAGGAGACGAAUCCGGCACCGAAGCAGCAAAAAGCCUAAUGUACGGU